CGCAUAUUGCGCCCCUCGGUAUUCCGGGGGGCAUACCUGUUCGAGCGUCAUUACACCCCUCAAGCCUAGCUUGGUAUUGGGCGCUCGCCAGUGGCGUGCCCGAAAAUUAGUGGCGGUCCGGAGUGGCUUUGAGCGCAUUCAAUCUAUUCGCUUCCAGAGGCUGUUCUGCGAUUUGCCGUGCAAACCACAUAGUGGACUUCGUUAAUUGACCUCGGAUCAGGUAGGGAUACCCGCUGAACUUAA
rnacentral:misc_RNA from 1 species